rnacentral:rRNA from 1 species
AUUGAACGCUGGCGGCAUGCCUUACACAUGCAAGUCGAACGGCAGCACGGGAGCAAUCCUGGUGGCGAGUGGCGAACGGGUGAGUAAUAUAUCGGAACGUGCCCAGUCGUGGGGGAUAACGUAGCGAAAGCUACGCUAAUACCGCAUACGAUCUAUGGAUGAAAGCGGGGGAUCGCAAGACCUCGCGCGAUUGGAGCGGCCGAUAUCAGAUUAGGUAGUUGGUGAGGUAAAGGCGUCACCAAGCCGACGAUCUGUAGCUGGUCUGAGAGGACGACCAGCCACACUGGGACUGAGACACGGCCCAGACUCCUACGGGAGGCAGCAGUGGGGAAUUUUGGACAAUAGGGCGCAAGCCUGAUCCAGCAAUGCCGCGUGCAGGAUGAAGGCCUUCGGGUU